rnacentral:rRNA from 1 species
AGCGUACACGGUGGAUGCCCUGGCAGUCAGAGGCGAUGAAGGACGUGCUAAUCUGCGAUAAGCGUCGGUAAGGUGAUAUGAACCGUUAUAACCGGCGAUUUCCGAAUGGGGAAACCCAGUGUGUUUCGACACACUAUCAUUAACUGAAUCCAUAGGUUAAUGAGGCGAACCGGGGGAACUGAAACAUCUAAGUACCCCGAGGAAAAGAAAUCAACCGAGAUUCCCCCAGUAGCGGCGAGCGAACGGGGAGCAGCCCAGAGCCUGAAUCAGUGUGUGUGUUAGUGGAAGCGUCUGGAAAGGCGCGCGAUACAGGGUGACAGCCCCGUACACAAAAAUGCACAUGCUGUGAGCUCGAUGAGUAGGGCGGGACACGUGGUAUCCUGUCUGAAUAUGGGGGGACCAUCCUCCAAGGCUAAAUACUCCUGACUGACCGAUAGUGAACCAGUACCGUGAGGGAAAGGCGAAAAGAACCCCGGCGAGGGGAGUGAAAAAGAACCUGAAACCGUGUACGUACAAGCAGUGGGAGCACGCUUCGGCGUGUGACUGCGUACCUUUUGUAUAAUGGGUCAGCGACUUAUAUUCUGUAGCAAGGUUAACCGAAUAGGGGAGCCGAAGGGAAACCGAGUCUUAACUGGGCGUUAAGUUGCAGGGUAUAGACCCGAAACCCGGUGAUCUAGCCAUGGGCAGGUUGAAGGUUGGGUAACACUAACUGGAGGACCGAACCGACUAAUGUUGAAAAAUUAGCGGAUGACUUGUGGCUGGGGGUGAAAGGCCAAUCAAACCGGGAGAUAGCUGGUUCUCCCCGAAAGCUAUUUAGGUAGCGCCUCGUGAAUUCAUCUCCGGGGGUAGAGCACUGUUUCGGCAAGGGGGUCAUCCCGACUUACCAACCCGAUGCAAACUGCGAAUACCGGAGAAUGUUAUCACGGGAGACACACGGCGGGUGCUAACGUCCGUCGUGAAGAGGGAAACAACCCAGACCGCCAGCUAAGGUCCCAAAGUCAUGGUUAAGUGGGAAACGAUGUGGGAAGGCCCAGACAGCCAGGAUGUUGGCUUAGAAGCAGCCAUCAUUUAAAGAAAGCGUAAUAGCUCACUGGUCGAGUCGGCCUGCGCGGAAGAUGUAACGGGGCUAAACCAUGCACCGAAGCUGCGGCAGCGACGCUUAUGCGUUGUUGGGUAGGGGAGCGUUCUGUAAGCCUGUGAAGGUGUGCUGUGAGGCAUGCUGGAGGUAUCAGAAGUGCGAAUGCUGACAUAAGUAACGAUAAAGCGGGUGAAAAGCCCGCUCGCCGGAAGACCAAGGGUUCCUGUCCAACGUUAAUCGGGGCAGGGUGAGUCGACCCCUAAGGCGAGGCCGAAAGGCGUAGUCGAUGGGAAACAGGUUAAUAUUCCUGUACUUGGUGUUACUGCGAAGGGGGGACGGAGAAGGCUAUGUUGGCCGGGCGACGGUUGUCCCGGUUUAAGCGUGUAGGCUGGUUUUCCAGGCAAAUCCGGAAAAUCAAGGCUGAGGCGUGAUGACGAGGCACUACGGUGCUGAAGCAACAAAUGCCCUGCUUCCAGGAAAAGCCUCUAAGCAUCAGGUAACAUCAAAUCGUACCCCAAACCGACACAGGUGGUCAGGUAGAGAAUACCAAGGCGCUUGAGAGAACUCGGGUGAAGGAACUAGGCAAAAUGGUGCCGUAACUUCGGGAGAAGGCACGCUGAUAUGUAGGUGAAGUCCCUCGCGGAUGGAGCUGAAAUCAGUCGAAGAUACCAGCUGGCUGCAACUGUUUAUUAAAAACACAGCACUGUGCAAACACGAAAGUGGACGUAUACGGUGUGACGCCUGCCCGGUGCCGGAAGGUUAAUUGAUGGGGUCAGCGCAAGCGAAGCUCUUGAUCGAAGCCCCGGUAAACGGCGGCCGUAACUAUAACGGUCCUAAGGUAGCGAAAUUCCUUGUCGGGUAAGUUCCGACCUGCACGAAUGGCGUAAUGAUGGCCAGGCUGUCUCCACCCGAGACUCAGUGAAAUUGAACUCGCUGUGAAGAUGCAGUGUACCCGCGGCAAGACGGAAAGACCCCGUGAACCUUUACUAUAGCUUGACACUGAACAUUGAGCCUUGAUGUGUAGGAUAGGUGGGAGGCUUUGAAGUGUGGACGCCAGUCUGCAUGGAGCCGACCUUGAAAUACCACCCUUUAAUGUUUGAUGUUCUAACGUUGACCCGUAAUCCGGGUUGCGGACAGUGUCUGGUGGGUAGUUUGACUGGGGCGGUCUCCUCCUAAAGAGUAACGGAGGAGCACGAAGGUUGGCUAAUCCUGGUCGGACAUCAGGAGGUUAGUGCAAUGGCAUAAGCCAGCUUGACUGCGAGCGUGACGGCGCGAGCAGGUGCGAAAGCAGGUCAUAGUGAUCCGGUGGUUCUGAAUGGAAGGGCCAUCGCUCAACGGAUAAAAGGUACUCCGGGGAUAACAGGCUGAUACCGCCCAAGAGUUCAUAUCGACGGCGGUGUUUGGCACCUCGAUGUCGGCUCAUCACAUCCUGGGGCUGAAGUAGGUCCCAAGGGUAUGGCUGUUCGCCAUUUAAAGUGGUACGCGAGCUGGGUUUAGAACGUCGUGAGACAGUUCGGUCCCUAUCUGCCGUGGGCGCUGGAGAACUGAGGGGGGCUGCUCCUAGUACGAGAGGACCGGAGUGGACGCAUCACUGGUGUUCGGGUUGUCAUGCCAAUGGCACUGCCCGGUAGCUAAAUGCGGAAGAGAUAAGUGCUGAAAGCAUCUAAGCACGAAACUUGCCCCGAGAUGAGUUCUCCCUGACUCCUUGA